GACGAACGCUGGCGGCGUGCUUAACACAUGCAAGUCGAACGAAAAGAGGGAAAGAGCUUGCUCUUUCCGGAAUUGAGUGGCAAACGGGUGAGUAACACGUAAACAACCUGCCUUCAGGAUGGGGACAACAGACGGAAACGACUGCUAAUACCGAAUAAGUUCCAAGAGCCGCAUGGCCCAUGGAAGAAAAGGUGGCCUCUACCUGUAAGCUAUCGCCUGAAGAGGGGUUUGCGUCUGAUUAGCUGGUUGGAGGGGUAACGGCCCACCAAGGCGACGAUCAGUAGCCGGUCUGAGAGGAUGAACGGCCAAACUGGACCUGAGACACGGUCCAGAAUACUACGGGAGGCAGAAGUGGGGAAUCUUCAGCAAUGGGAGAAAGCCUGACGGAGCAACGCCGCGUGAGUGAUGACGGCCUUCGGGUUGUAAAACUCUGUGAUCCGGGACGAAAAGGCAGAGUGCGAAGAACAAACUGCAUUGACGGUACCGGAAAAGCAAGCCACGGCUAACUACGUG
rnacentral:rRNA from 1 species